UACGUAGGGGCUAGCGUUGUCCGGAAUCAUUGGGCGUAAGCGCGUGUAGGCGGUCCGGUAAGUCCGCUGUGAAAGUCGAGGGCUCAACCCUCGAAUGCCGGUGGAUACUGUCGGGCUUGAGGACGGGAGAGGCGAGUGGAAUUCCUGGUGUAGCGGUGAAAUGCGCAGAUAUCAGGAGGAACACCGAUUGCGAAGGCAGCUCGCUGGAACGUUACUGACGCUGAGACGCGAAAGCGUGGGGAGCAAACAGG
rnacentral:rRNA from 1 species